rnacentral:rRNA from 1 species
CCUACGGGGGGCAGCAGUGAGGAAUAUUGCGCAAUGGGGGCAACCCUGACGCAGCGACGCCGCGUGAGUGAGGAAGGUUUUCGGAUCGUAAAGCUCUGUCAGAAGGGAAGAAGUGUUAAAUGGUUAAUACCCAUAUAAUUUGACGGUACCUUCAGAGGAAGCACCGGCUAACUCCGUGCCAGCAGCCGCGGUAAUACGGAGGGUGCGAGCGUUGUUCGGAAUUACUGGGCGUAAAGGGCGCGUAGGCGGCUUGAUAAGUCAGAUGUGAAAGUCCAUGGCUCAACUGUGGAAGUGCAUUUGAAACUGUCUGGCUUGAGUAUUGGAGGGGAAAGUGGAAUUCCCGGUGUAGAGGUGAAAUUCGUAGAGAUCGGGAGGAACACCUGUGGCGAAGGCGACUUUCUGGACAAAUACUGACGCUGAGGCGCGAAAGCGUGGGGAGCAAACAGGAUUAGAUACCCGUGUAGUC